rnacentral:rRNA from 1 species
AUACGGGGGGAGCAAGCGUUGUCCGGAAUCAUUGGGCGUAAAGGGCACGUAGGCGGUUUCUUAAGUCGAAUGUGAAAUCUCACGGCUCAACCGUGAAACUUCGUUCGAAACUAAGUGACUUGAGUUUGGGAGAGGUUUACGGAAUUCCUGGUGUAGCGGUGGAAUGCGUAGAUAUCAGGAAGAACACCAAUGGCGAAGGCAGUACACUGGCCUGAAACUGACGCUGAGGUACGAAAGCGUGGGUAGCAAACAGGAUUAGAAACCCGAGUAGUCC